rnacentral:rRNA from 1 species
CACUCCUGCGGGAGGCAGCAGUGGGGAAUUUUGGACAAUGGGCGAAAGCCUGAUCCAGCAAUGCCGCGUGAGUGAAGAAGGCCUUCGGGUUGUAAAGCUCUUUUGUCAGGGAAGAAACGGUGAAAGCUAAUAUCUUUUGCUAAUGACGGUACCUGAAGAAUAAGCACCGGCUAACUACGUGCCAGCAGCCGCGGUAAUACGUAGGGUGCAAGCGUUAAUCGGAAUUACUGGGCGUAAAGCGUGCGCAGGCGGUUUUGUAAGUCUGAUGUGAAAUCCCCGGGCUCAACCUGGGAAUUGCAUUGGAGACUGCAAGGCUAGAAUCUGGCAGAGGGGGGUAGAAUUCCACGUGUAGCAGUGAAAUGCGUAGAUAUGUGGAGGAACACCGAUGGCGAAGGCAGCCCCCUGGGUCAAGAUUGACGCUCAUGCACGAAAGCGUGGGGAGCAAACAGGAUUAGAUACCCCUGUAGUCCCAUG